UACGUAGGGUGCGAGCGUUGUCCGGAAUUACUGGGCGUAAAGAGCUCGUAGGUGGUUUGUCGCGUUGUCCGUGAAAACUCACAACUCAAUUGUGGGCGUGCGGGCGAUACGGGCAGACUGGAGUACUGCAGGGGAGACUGGAAUUCCUGGUGUAGCGGUGGAAUGCGCAGAUAUCAGGAGGAACACCGGUGGCGAAGGCGG
rnacentral:rRNA from 1 species